rnacentral:rRNA from 1 species
UGGCUCAGAGCGAACGCUAGCGGCGGGCUAACACAUGCAAGUCGAGCGGAGGGCUUCGGCUCUCAGCGGCGAACGGGUGAGUAACACGUAGGUAACGUACCUUCUGGUGGGGAAUAACUGGGGGAAACCCUAGCUAAUACCGCAUAUGCUCGCAAGAGUAAAAGCCCUCGGGCGCCAGUAGAUCGGCCUGCGGCCCAUUAUUUAGUCCUAGUUGGUAGGGUAACGGCCUACCAAGGGUACGAUGGGUAGCUGGUCUGAGAGGAUGAUCAGCCACACUGGGACUGAGACACGGCCCAGACUCCUACGGGAGGGCAGCAGUGGGGAAUAUUGGACAAUGGGCGCAAGCCUGAUCCAGCCACGCCGCGUGAGUGAUGAAGGCCUUCGGGUCGUAAAGCUCUGUGGGGAGGGACGAACGGCGCCAUGAAGAGUGGCGAUUGACGGUACCUCCUUAGCAAGCACCGGCUAACUUCGUG